CCUACGGGAGGCAGCAGUGGGGAAUAUUGCACAAUGGGCGCAAGCCUGAUGCAGCAACGCCGCGUGAGGGAUGAAGGCCUUCGGGUUGUAAACCUCUUUUAGCAGGGAAGAAGCAAAAGUGACGGUACCUGCAGAAAAAGCACCGGCUAACUACGUGCCAGCAGCCGCGGUAAUACGUAGGGUGCAAGCGUUGUCCGGAAUUAUUGGGCGUAAAGAGCUCGUAGGCGGUUUGUCACGUCUGCUGUGAAAAUCCAAGGCUCAACCUUGGACUUGCAGUGGGUACGGGCAGGCUAGAGUGCGGUAGGGGAGAUGGGAAUUCCUGGUGUAGCGGUGGAAUGCGCAGAUAUCAGGAGGAACACCAAUGGCGAAGGCACAUCUCUGGGCCGUAACUGACGCUGAGGAGCGAAAGCGUGGGGAGCAAACAGGAUUAGAUACCCUGGUAGUCCACGCCGUAAACGGUGGGUGCUAGCUGUGGGCCACAUUCCACGUGGUCCGUAACGAAGUUAACACAUUAAGCACCCCGCCUGGGGAGUACGGCCGCAAGGCUAAAACUCAAAGGAAUUGACGG
rnacentral:rRNA from 1 species